GGAGCUUUAACAUCACAUGCAAGAAAUGUGACAAAAUAUAAUAUGGAAGUUAAAGAGAUGUAGUUUAGAUGUGCUCCUCCAAACUUCCAUACCCAUAGAUGAAGAGGCUAUCACAUAACCUGAAGUAAAUCAUAAAAGCUUCAUGCAAUAUAAAAGUGGAAUUGGAGACAUUGAAACUGAAGAUAAAUUUGAUUUGAUUUUUCGAUUCGAAAAAAACAAAAAUCGAAUAACAAAGUUCACUGCUGU
rnacentral:misc_RNA from 1 species